rnacentral:rRNA from 1 species
AUUGAACGCUGGCGGCAUGCUUUACACAUGCAAGUCGAACGGCAGCGCGGGCUUCGGCCUGGCGGCGAGUGGCGAACGGGUGAGUAAUGCAUCGGAACGUGCCCAGUAGUGGGGGAUAGCCCGGCGAAAGCCGGAUUAAUACCGCAUACGACCUGAGGGUGAAAGCGGGGGACCGAAAGGCCUCGCGCUAUUGGAGCGGCCGAUGUCGGAUUAGCUAGUUGGUGGGGUAAAGGCUUACCAAGGCGACGAUCCGUAGCUGGUCUGAGAGGACGACCAGCCACACUAGGACUGAGACACGGCCCAGACUCCUACGGGAGGCAGCAGUGGGGAAUUUUGGACAAUGGGGGCAACCCUGAUCCAGCCAUGCCGCGUGCGGGAAGAAGGCCUUCGGGUUGUAAACCGCUUUUGUUCGGGAAGAAAUCCUCUGGGCUAAUACCCCGGGGGGAUGACGGUACCGGAAGAAUAAGCACCGGCUAACUGCGUG